CUCGCCCCGCCCCUUCCCCCGCCCGGGCGGCCAUGGCCAUUCCCGGCAUCCCCUAUGAGCGGCGGCUUCUCAUCAUGGCGGACCCUAGAGAUAAGGCGCUUCAGGACUACCGCAAGAAGCUGCUGGAGCACAAGGAGAUCGACGGCCGUCUCAAGGAGUUAAGGGAACAAUUAAAAGAACUUACCAAGCAGUAUGAAAAGUCUGAAAAUGAUCUGAAGGCCCUACAAAGUGUUGGGCAGAUUGUGGGUGAAGUACUUAAGCAAUUAACUGAAGAAAAAUUCAUUGUUAAAGCUACAAAUGGACCAAGAUAUGUUGUGGGUUGUCGUCGACAGCUUGACAAAAGUAAGCUGAAGCCAGGAACAAGAGUUGCUUUGGAUAUGACUACACUAACUAUCAUGAGGUAUUUGCCAAGAGAGGUGGACCCACUGGUUUACAACAUGUCGCAUGAGGACCCCGGGAAUGUUUCUUAUUCUGAGAUCGGAGGUUUGUCAGAACAGAUUCGGGAGUUACGAGAGGUAAUAGAAUUACCUCUUACAAACCCAGAAUUAUUCCAACGUGUAGGAAUAAUACCUCCAAAAGGCUGUUUGUUAUAUGGACCACCAGGUACAGGAAAAACACUCUUGGCACGUGCUGUUGCUAGCCAGUUGGAUUGCAAUUUCUUAAAGGUUGUAUCUAGUUCUAUUGUAGACAAGUACAUUGGUGAAAGUGCUCGUUUGAUCCGAGAAAUGUUUAAUUAUGCCAGGGACCAUCAGCCAUGCAUCAUUUUUAUGGAUGAAAUAGAUGCUAUUGGUGGUCGUCGGUUUUCUGAGGGUACUUCAGCUGAUAGAGAGAUUCAGAGAACUUUAAUGGAGCUACUGAAUCAGAUGGAUGGAUUUGAUACUCUACAUAGAGUUAAAAUGAUCAUGGCUACAAACAGACCAGAUACACUGGAUCCUGCUUUGCUUCGUCCAGGCAGAUUAGAUAGAAAAAUACAUAUUGAUUUACCAAACGAACAAGCAAGGUUAGAUAUAUUGAAAAUCCAUGCAGGUCCCAUUACAAAGCAUGGUGAAAUAGAUUAUGAAGCAAUUGUGAAGCUUUCAGAUGGCUUUAAUGGAGCAGACCUGAGAAAUGUUUGUACUGAAGCAGACAGUGUUUAAAGAGGCUGCUCAGACAUGGCUUCUCCAUAGGAGUAUCUUCAUGGGUAUACUGUGACUCAGUAUCUGGAUCAAAGAUCUGCAGGUCCAGAAACUCUCAGUACAAAUCACAUAAAUCAUGCUCACAAAGACUUACUAGUAAACAAAAAUAUUAAAAGGUAUGUUUGCAAUUCGUGCUGAUCAUGAUUUUGUAGUACAGGAAGACUUCAUGAAAGCAGUCAGAAAAGUGGCUGAUUCUAAGAAGCUAGAGUCUAAAUUGGACUACAAACCUGUGUAAUUUACUGUAAGAUUUUUGAUGGCUGCAUGACAGAUAUUGGCUUAAUGUAAAAAUAAAGUUAAGGAAAAUUAUGUAUUGGCAAAAAUGAUCUCAUUAAAAGAGUAUGAAUAAAAAUGUAUAUGAAUAACAUUGUAAAAAUUAGUAAUUCAGUAAUUCUACUUUUAAGAAGUAUGGAAGAAAUUUGUAUGUUUGUUAAUGUUGCAUUUAUUGCAGCAGAAGUUAUAAAAGAAGAGUAUGUUGAAGCUUUUUGUAUUUGCUGUGUAUUUUGUAAAACCUUGAAAAUGGUUUGAGACGGUAGUACCAGAUAGCAUUUCUUAUGACUUAUUUUAUAUCAUUUGUUUUCCUCAUCCUAAAAAGUUUAAUAAAAUCUGUUUGAUUCAGUUCUCCUACA